rnacentral:rRNA from 1 species
GUGCCAGCAGCCGCGGUAAGACAGAGGGUGCAAACGUUGUUCGGAAUUACUGGGCGUAAAGCGCGUGUAGGCGGUUAUGCAAGUCGGGUGUGAAAGCCCGGAGCUCAACUCCGGAAGUGCAUUCGAUACUGCGUAGCUAGAGUACUGGAGAGGAUGGUGGAACUCUCGGUGUAGAGGUGAAAUUCGUAGAUAUCGAGAAGAACACCGGUGGCGAAGGCGGCCAUCUGGACAGAUACUGACGCUGAGACGCGAAAGCGUGGGGAGCAAACAGGAUUAGAUACCCCGGUAGUCC